rnacentral:lncRNA from 1 species
UGCUGGGCACCCAGUCAGCCCUUAAAUGUUAUCAUUAUUAUUAUUCUAUCCCAAUGCUUAGAACAGGGCUGGGCACCCAAUCAGCGCUUAAAUGCUAUCAUUAUUAUUAUUAUUAUUCCAUCCCAGCGCUUAGAGCAGUGCUGGGCACCCAGUGAGCACUUAACAAAUGCUAUCAUUAUUAUUAUUUUAUCCCAGCGCUUAGAACAGGGCUGGUUACCCAAUCAGCGCUUAAAUGCUAUCAUUAUUAUUAUUCUAUCCCAACGCUUAGAACAGUGCUGGGCACCCAGUGAGCUCUUAAAUGCUAUCAUUAUUAUUAUUUUAUCCCAGCGCUUAGAACAGUGCUGGGCACCCAGUGAGCUCUUAAAUGCUAUCAUCAUUAUUAUUGUAUCCCAGCGCUUAAAACAGGGCUGGGCACCCAGUCAGCACUUAAAUGCUAUUAUUAUUAUUCUAUCCCAACGCUUAGAACACUGCUGGGCACCCAGUGAGCGCUUAACAAAUGUUAUCAUUAUUAUUUUAUCCCAGCGUUUAGAACAGUGCUGGGCACCUACUGAGCCCUUAAAUGCCACCGUUAUUAUUAUUAUUCUAUCCCAGCGCUUAGAACAGUGCUUGGCAACUAGUGAGCACUUAAAUGCUAUCAUUAUUAUUAUUAUUCUGUCCCAGCGCUUAGAACAGUGCUUGACACCUAGUGAGCGCUUAAAUGUUAUCAUUAUUAUUAGUAUUAUUCUGUUGCAGUGCUUAGAACAGUGCUUAGUACCUAGUGAGCACUUAAUAAAUGCCAUUGUUAUUAUUAGUAUUUUUCUAUCCCAGCGCUUAGAACAAUGCUUGGCACCUCCUGAGCGCUUAAAUGCUAUCAUCAUUAUUCUAUCCCAGUGCUUAGAACAAUGCUUGGCACUUACUGAGCGCUUAAAAGCCACCGUUAUCAUUAUUAUUAUUAUUCUAUCCCAGUGCUUAGAACAGUGCUUGGCACUUAGUGACCACUUAACAAAUACCAUUGCUGUUAUUACUAUAGAGAAGCAGCGUGGCUCAGUGGAAAAAGCACGGGCUUGGGAGUCAGAGGGCAUGGGUUCUAGUCCCGCUUCCGCCCCUUCUCUGCGGGGUGAUCGUGGGCGAGUCACUCCUCCGGGCCUCGGUGACCUCCUCUGUAAAAUGGGGAUGGAGAUCGGGAGCCCCUGUGGGACAGCCUCAUCACCUUCUAUCUAG